GACGAACGCUGGCGGCGUGGAUUAGGCAUGCAAGUUGAACGGUAGUAGUCUUUCGGGGCUAUGAGAGUAGCGAACGGGUGAGUAACGCGUAGGUAAUCUGCCUUCAAGUGGGGGACAACCCGGGGAAACCCGGGCUAAUACCGCAUGUGUCCGUAAGGAUAAAGCCGGCCUCUGAAUAUGCUGGUGCUUGGAGAUGAGCCUGCGUCUGAUUAGCUAGUUGGUGGGGUAAUGGCUCACCAAGGCGAUGAUAAGUAGGCGGCUUUAACGAGUGGUCGCCCACACUGGGAUUGAGAUACGGCCCAGACUCCUACGGGUGGCAG
rnacentral:rRNA from 1 species